CUGCCGGUAUCGAAUGGGAGCCGUCCAUUCUGCCGGAACGAACAAUGGGUAUUAGCCCCAAUCCCUUGCCUCCCUCAGGUGUCGUUCCACGGUUCCGCCCCGAUGCCGCUCCCGUCAAGCUCGAGUGCCUUGACGGAUAGCCUAGGCUAGGGCCAUCGGAUCUAGCUGCGGCGGCGCAGCCAAAGCCUCCAUCGUUGGAGCUCGGGACCGGCGCAGUGACGGCCGUGACCCUCUAUCCCGCUCGCCGCCCCUGACGCAACUCCAGCAGGCCCCUCCGUGACUCCAGCAGGCCCCUCUGUGUAUCGCUGCCUCGACGCACCAUCCCAUCGUGGCUCUUUGGUCCUCGAUCUCGACGGCCUCCGAGGCAGGGCACGGCGCGAGAGCCUAUCGUAUGCCGAGACGCCCUGCCACGAGAAGUCCGGGAGGGCGCUGGACUCGGAAACGUUGGCUUCAUGCUUGAUGACGGACGGUGGGCGAGCUGCUCUUCCUCUUCAUUAGCGACAAGGUCGACCUAGGUGGCGCGGCCACGUGUGCGCCCGGCUGCAGGAGCGGCGUCAGUGGGCGAGGGGAAGUUGAGCUUGGCCCUGGGCCCGCGGAUGUCGCGCCUGGCGAGGUUCGAGUUGUGCUCUCCCUGGAUCCCGCCUCCCGGACAGGAUGCCAGUGUACUUCUCCGCCUCCCAGGCCGCCCCUCAAUCUCUACCGCGGCCAUGGAGCCACUAGAGCUACAGAUCGAUGGGAUGGCGUCGCCAAGUAAGAGCACCUCGAGAGGUGCAGUGCAGCGACAGAAGGUGUGUUCGACGAGUGGCUCGAACAGGUGCAAGUCGAGGCCACGGUGGCGCGAGCAGCAGCUCCAGCCACAGCCUCCUUCGCCUGCGCCAUCCCUCCUACUCCAGUUCUGCAAUUGCCGGAGCCUCCACUGCCUGCAAGGUGUUCGACAAAAUGCCAAGCUUCCAGACGCACAGCAACUUUAAUUUAUGAAGGAUUUCCAUGGGUAACCCAUCUGACCAAGAUAUCACCAUGACGUUCUUCCACUGUGGCCAUUCAUUUUAUGGUAGCAUAAUUCAUCUAAUCACACCAGCCACUUCAUCUGUUGCAACACAUAAGUUGUGUGAACAAUCACGCUGGUAAUUUUUUCCAUGCUUCUAUCCUAGAGGUAAUGGUGUUACUAUUAAUUGCAUAGCUCAGUUUUUUUUCAUAUUUUAUAUUGCAAUGAAGCUUUGUUCAUCUUGACAGAACAUUGACUUGAAACCAUUGUAGUUUUAAUUUUCAAGAUAGAAGGAUAGAGAGCAUAGUUUGAAUAAUUUUAGUGUGCUUCCUGGAGGCAAUCAAAAGAAAUUGACGAUAUAUACAAGCUAAUAUUAUUUACCUUCGGAUUUAGUAGCCACUUAUUAUCCAACUGUACAUUCAGUAUUAGAAUGACUUGCUAAUAGCUCAUAGCUUCAGAUUAUCAGGGUUUUUUAAUGCUUGGUACAGUUCUAGAUUAUGGCAGUUCUUGCCUUGCGGUUGAGCUUAUGCAACCAAUUUUUUGCUCUAAUUAAUAGUUACAUCUUCCAGCAUUCAAAAAGCAGAGGGGGGGGGGGGGGGGCGAAAAAGCUAAGAUGCUCGAUCAUCUUGCACAUUGUGCAGAGGGUGCCAACUUCUCUGGUUUUUGUAAUUUUUAAAGAGUUAAAUACAUCAUUAGUACAUAAACUUCGCAAGAGGGUGCGCUUAGAUACAUCAUCUCUAGUCGCUUAUUUAGGAGCAACAACUUGGCAGGUGUGUGCAGAUAGAUCACCGUGAUGACACAUGGGAAAAAAAUUGCCAUGUAGGCAGCUCACAUGUACAUUUGGAUCGGAUCUUACGUGUACAACGGUGCAUACAACAGCAACGAGAGGUGGAAGGACUAUAGCUAGAGGUGGUAGAGGGCAAAAAGGCAGUAUAGGGAAAGGGAGAGAUAACCAGGAGUUGGCAGCUUCCAAGCCAGGGAGAGGGGGGGCAAAAGACCAGGGGGCAAAGGAGGCAGAGGAGGUGUAAGAUCAAGGGGAAGAGGUGGCAGAGUUUCCAAUGAGCACAUCAAUCUCAAUCAAAAUACUGGUGGCCACACUAAUCUCAAUGAAGUUCAUGAAAAUCACAGUAAUAAUAUUGAUCAAGGUCCUGAGGAAAUUAGAGUAACACAGACUGCACCGGAAGCUAGCCAACGUUGUUACAUUUAGCUCGAUGAAGAUGCGAUGGAUUACUUUGCUAUUUUGCUACAAUGUGUGUUAUUAAGCCCUGCCAAAUUAUCCUUCAUAUGCUCAUGGAAGAAGUCAAAUUUUUGUCCUUCUAGAGAUCAAAGUGCUAUAAAUUCUGAAAUUGUAUCCCCAGCCAUCACCGUACUCCUAAUUGCAAAGGAAAAGAAGAAUCACAUCUCAACUUGAAAAUCACCAAGACAUAGGGCUACGGAUCAACUUAAUUGAGUCCAAACAAAAAAGCAGCAAAUAAAUUAGGGAUGUAUCUGCAUUAGUGCUAAAACAUGGGGUUUUGUACAUGUGAGCUGCCUACAUGAAAAUUUUUUGCCCAUGUGUUGUCUCGGUGAUCUAUCUGCAUGCACCUGCCAAGUUGUUGCUCCUAAAUAAGCGAUUAGAGAGAUGAUGUAUCUAAGCGCACCCUCUUGGUAAGUUUAUGUACUAAUGAUGCAUUUAACUCUUUUUUAAAUCAGUAGCAGCUUAGACAUUACACUUAUCACAAAUAUUUUGCCUGACAGCAAAGGAAAUUCAAGUUUAAAUAAUCAUGUAUAAGUAUCCUAGUUUUUGGAUUUAAUCUCACCAGUCACAAGCAGGUUAGAUAUGGUCUAUGAUAUUUAAUUAGAAUCUUGUGCAGAGGAUGCCAGCUUCUCUAUUUUUCUUAUUUUUUAAAUCGGUAGCAGCUUAGAGAUGGCUCUGUUAUUUUUAUGCAUCGCAAGGAUGAGCAAUGCAGUAAGAACUAUUUGGUGUUAAGCUUCAAUUUUUCAUGUUUAAACUAUUCUUUCACUCACCUGGUAUGGAUUUACUGGUCACUUGAUUCUAUAUUAUGUUAACCGCUCCUAAAAUGGCUUCUCCUCCGUUUCUGGCAAUCCAAUUGAUGCUUGUCAAUACUCAUUUACAAUUCCUAAAUAGAUUAUCUGGUAGGCAAUACCAAUAUACAUGGUUCCUGAUCCGUUAUUCGGUUCAGCGUUAAUAUAAAGGCUACAAACUUGCUGAUUGUUGUUCUGUUCAGCGUCAAAAAUAGAAGCUAGAAUGACUGUACUUGCCUGCUUGAUCAUAAUUUGCUAGCUAGCAUAUGUUAUAAAGUAAUGCUUUACAUGAAGUGUAUGGAAUGAAAGUAGCAACAGUUUGCACACGUAAUAUUCACUCAGUUGUCUUCUGUGUCUAUUUAUACUCUUAACCAAGAAACAUUGUAUUUGCAGGGUCAGAAAAGAACAUCUGCAGUUGGUUUUGGUGCCUUAUUUCACAACUAUCUUUUUUUAUCUUAUUUAUUUUUACUUGGAUCUUUCUGGUGGAUUAUGUUCUAAUAAAUUUUGCCGUUGUUUGGUAUAAAUAUUCCACUUUCAAGGCAACUAGUCGGUUUUGCCAUAGCUCCUACUUCCUACUCUAUAUGGGGCAAAAGUUGCAGAACUGCUAUUUGGUGACAGAGGAUGGAUGAACAAUCUGAAAGGAUAUACUAAAUGAUGUUCAAAACUCAGGAGGAUUGAUCUUGGAAUAUAUGAUCACAUAUGAGGAAGUUGCCUGCCUGAAUUAGCAAUGUGAUUUGUUUUUGCCACAUGUGAGAUUGGCAUGGGUAAUUCUUGAAAAUACUAGGAAGAAUAAAAGCUCAUACUAUGCUCUCCUACAAAGUGAUCUUUUACAAUCAAGCUGUAAUUUGCUAAGAUAAGUGUUACUGUGAAUUCUAUGUUGGUCAUUGUAGUGAAUUAUAUUUGGAAUGCUAGAAGUUGACUCUCGCUUAGGCUCUAAGAUGUUGUAUGAACUAUAAUUUGUACUUUUGUUUGAGGCAAAGUGUAUGCUGCUAUUGGGAUAUGCCAUUAUAAAUAUUUUCGUA